rnacentral:rRNA from 1 species
CUGUUCAAUGAGUCUAGUCUGCUCUAUGAUUAUUAUUAAAUGGCCGCAGUAUUUUAACUGUGCAAAGGUAGCAUGAUCAUUUGCCUUUUAAUUAAAGGCUUGUAUGAAUGGCUGGAUGAGAAAUUAACUUUCUUUAUUUAAUUUUAAAAAACUUUAUUUUUUAGUUAAAAAGCUAAAAUUUUAUUAUUAGACGAGAAGACCCUAUAGAACUUUAUAAUUCUGUAUAUUAUUAUAUUUUUAGUUGAUUAUUUUUUAAUAUAUAUAAUUAUUUUGUUGGGGUGACAGGUAAAUUUUUUUAACUUUAUUUAUUUCAUUUCAUUUAUAUAUGAUUUUUUUGAUCCAUUAUUUAUGAUUAAAAGAUUAAGUUACCUUAGGGAUAACAGCGUAAUUUUAUUGGAAAGUUCUUAUUUAUAAUAAAGUUUGCGACCUCGAUGUUGGAUUAAAAUUAGUUAUUGGUGUAGCAGCUAAUAUUUCUAGGUCUGUUCGACCUUUAAAUUUUUACAUGAUCUGAGUUUCAACCGGGACCGGUCACGACCUGUUUACAAAAAGCAUACCCGAGUUCCGCCCGCCCGGGUUUAAAUCUAAAAAAGA